rnacentral:rRNA from 1 species
AACGCUAGCGGCAGGCUACACAUGCAAGUCGAGGGAGAGGUUACCUUCGGGUAACUGAAACCGGCGCACGGGUGCGUAACGCGUAUACAAUCUGCCUUUCACAUAGGGAUAGCCCGAAGUAAUUUGGAUUAAUACCUAAUGGUAUAUAAGAGCGGCAUCGUUUUUAUAUUAAAGCUACGGUGGUGAAAGAUGAGUAUGCGUUCUAUUAGCUAGUUGGAGGGGUAACGGCUCCCCAAGGCGACGAUAGAUAGGGGUUCUGGGAGGGAUGUCCCCCACACUGGUACUGAGAUACGGACCAGACUCCUACGGGAGGCAGCAGUGAGGAAUAUUGGACAAUGGUCGGAAGACUGAUCCAGCCAUGCCGCGUGCAGGAUGAAGGUCCUAUGGAUUGUAAACUGCUUUUGUAAGGGAAGAAUAAGGGGUACGUGUACUUUGAUGACGGUACCUUACGAAUAAGCAUCGGCUAACUCCGUGCCAGCAGCCGCGGUAAUACGGAGGAUGCGAGCGUUAUCCGGAAUCAUUGGGUUUAAAGGGUCCGUAGGCGGGCUGAUAAGUCAGAGGUGAAAGCGCUUAGCUCAACUAAGCAACUGCCUUUGAAACUGUCAGUCUUGAAUGAUUGUGAAGUAGUUGGAAUGUGUAGUGUAGCGGUGAAAUGCUUAGAUAUUACACAGAACACCGAUAGCGAAGGCAUAUUACUAACAAUUUAUUGACGCUGAUGGACGAAAGCGUGGGGAGCGAACAGGAUUAGAUACCCUGGUAGUCCACGCUGUAAACGAUGGAUACUAGCUGUUUGGAGCAAUCUGAGUGGCUAAGCGAAAGUGAUAAGUAUCCCACCUGGGGAGUACGCACGCAAGUGU